rnacentral:miRNA from 1 species
AAGACAGUAGUAGGCAGCUCUCCUCUGGCAGGUGCAUUCUAGGUGAUUUUGUAAUUGUAUAUGCAUCCAAGGUAUAUACAGUCCGGCCAUGGUGCUACAUUGCAAUCAUCCAUAUGUGAUUGCAUUGUGUAUAUAUAUACAUGGUGGCCUUUGAUAGACCAUCAUAUAUCGGUUGGUUAUGUGCAUGUAUGUAUAUACCAGCUGCUACUAGCUUUGAUCGAUCGCCAUGUAGCGAUUGAAUUCACCAAAACGGCCUGCCAAAGGAGAGUUGCCCUGCGACUGUCU